rnacentral:rRNA from 1 species
GAUGAACGCUGGCGGCGUGCCUAAUACAUGCAAGUCGAGCGAACGGACGAGAAGCUUGCUUCUCUGAUGUUAGCGGCGGACGGGUGAGUAACACGUGGAUAACCUACCUAUAAGACUGGGAUAACUUCGGGAAACAGGAGCUAAUACCGGAUAAUAUUUUGAACCGCAUGGUUCAAAAGUGAAAGACGGUCUUGCUGUCACUUAUAGAUUGAUCCGCGCUGCAUUAGCUAGUUGGUAAGGUAACGGCUUACCAAGGCAACGACGCAUAGCCGACCUGAGAGGGUGAUCAGCCACACUGGAACUGAGACACGCUCCAGACGCCUACGGUAGGCAGCAGUAGGGAAUCUUCCGCAAUGGGCGAAAGCCUGACGGAGGAACGCCGCGCGAGUAAUGAAGGUCUUCGGAUCGUAAAACUCUGUUAUGAGGGAAGAACAUAUGUGUAAGUAACUGUGCACAUCUUGACGGUACCUAAUCAGAAAGCCACGGCUAACUACGUG